CGUAUAUAAAUAUAUGUGUUAUUGUGUUUGUCAGUGGGUGGGUGACUUUGUAUUUUGUCUCUGUGACUUUGUUUUUGUGUGCGGACAAGGAGAAGGACUACUGAAGAAUGAAGAUUCUUAGUGAAAUUUUUAAGAGCGAGAGAACCAUUCUUGCCACAAAUACCUAAGAACUACCUUAGAAUUAAGGAUGGAAGGAUGACAGUUCGAUUGCUAUUGAAGUAUCUAAUUAGCAAACUCAGACUAGAAAGCAAAUCAGAGGUAGUACUAUUAAUUCGUCAAUCGUCUGUUAAGGAUACCAAAAAAAUUCAUCUUGGUUCACUUAACAUAUAGUCAUCUAAUAAUCAUUGGCAUUACCGCAACCAAAGUUUUUGUUUGUAGCUUCUUUUGAGGAACCAUGGCAACACCCCCGAGUUCCCCCCACCUUCAGAUGCUCCAAGCACAACUACAAAAAGGAAGACUAGACAAACUACCUGCCUCAGAAGAUUGAUUGCCAGAAGCUUGGAUCAGCCACAGCCUACUAUGAAUGUGAACCCUAUUACUGGUAGAGGAUCUGGCCCACAUAAAGAAAAAUUUCAUAGUUACCUAGGGGUAGUUGCACGGGAAAAAAUCCCCAUUGUACAUUCCAGUUGGAAAGUUGUCCCUGAAUCUCUAAAAAAUCUAAUAUGGAAUGACAUUUUGGGUAAGUUUGACAUCCCUGAAGGAUCAAUUGCCAAGAAGGUCAUGUCGACAGUUGCCACGAGAUGGAGGCAAUUUAAGUCCUCCCUUACCUGUGACACCCUUUAUCCCGACAUAUAUAUAAAUAAAUAAAAUAUAUAAAAAUAUUGGUAAACAAAUUCAUGUGGGUAAAAUGUUCACAUUUACUUCACUAUUAUGAAAUAAAACUUAUUAAAAACAUAUUCGACUCAAAACAAGGUCGUCAAAAUUUACAGAAAUGUUUACUAAAUGUGACAACCUCUAACCCGACAUAUAUAUA